AAGCGAUCCACCUGCUCUGAUCUCCCAAAGUGCUGGGAUUACAGGUAUGAGCCACCAUGCUUGGUCAAAAUUUACCAUUUAAAUUGUAAGGAUACCUUGAAGAUAUUGUCACAGGAUCCUUGGGGUGUCACUUCACCAGCUGGAAACCUGUGUGGCCGGUGGUGCCUUUGGCCAGAUUUUGCUUGGGCCUCCUGGGCUGGUUUCGCCAACUCAGCCUGGCGGGCUGCACUGGGCUUUUGCUACUGGCCCAGAUCCCACACCUGCCAAGGGAGAGCCAGGCGCAGGCGGAGAGAGGUGCAUGCGCGAGCGAGCACAGCGUCUGGUCACUACGCACAGCCAGGCAGACUGGCUCCUGCGGGGUGGACAGCUCCAGGUACUGGGGCGGGCUCUAGCUCCCUGCAAGUCUGUGGCUGGACCAGGCAUACCGGAAGUGGCUUCCACUGCAGGCACUGGGAAAUGCGGUGGUGCCUUACACCCCUGGCUCAGGGGACUCCCAGGUCUGGGCUCCUUGAAGGGCUUCUCUCCAUAACUCCUCUCUUUCUCGUGCUCACAACAUGAGGAGCAGCAGGGACGGAGGGCGGAGCACGUUUCGGCCCUGUUUGUGUUGCAGCUCUUUCAGUUCCGCAAAUGGCUGGUCCCUAGUUCUUGUCCCAUGUCCAGGAAGGAUGAGGUGAUGAAUAUGAGAGCCAGAGUAUGUAAGGGAUUACAGCAGAUCAUACAGCUUGGAGGAGAAGAGUAAAACAGAUGCAUUGAAUGAAGAUCUCACAGUGACAUGAAAAAGAGGCAAAGCUUUGUGUGCUGGAAAACUUAGAGGAUUCUCCUUCAUUGUGGAAGGUUUGGACUGGGCCUUAAAGAUUGAGGACCUAUUGGGAACCAUUAGACUUUGGCCAAUCACGAGACUAUAUGAACUGCAUAUAGUAAAAAUAUAUUGAUAGUAAUAUAGUUUGGUUUUUAUUUAAUAAACUAAGAAGAAAAGAUGAGUUUGGGGUCAAAGAGCAGAAGGGAGAAAGGAAGGGCAAAGGGAAGGGGAAAGAAUAGAGACAUAAGAGAAAAAUCAGUAAGCAGACUUGAGAAAGGUAAGACUGGAAUCUUUGUACAAUAGGUCUGUUUUUCUAGUGACUUUUUAAUUGUAAUAAUUUCCAUUUUUCUGAUUUCAAAAUAAGGUACAUAUGAUUAAAAAUGUAAAUUAUGUUUAAAGUAAAAUUAAGAUAUGAAUAAUAAAUUAAUACUAAUAAUGACUGCCUACAUCAUACAUUUGGACACAAAGUAUAGUCCAGGAGCACCUGGGAUUCCCAAAGAAACUUUCAGGCAGUCAGGUAGAAACCGCUUUCAUAAUAAUACUGAAACUAUAUUUGACUCUUUCACUCUCAUUCUUUCCUGUGCAUUCUAUUGCAGAGGCUAAAUGUACGCCAUUGUUCUGACAGAUCACUGAAAGUGUGUCUGUGUAUUCUUGUGUUUCAAAAGGUUCUGCUUAAAUUUAUAAUAUAAUAAAUAUAAGUAGUUAGGUUUGACAUAAAUAAAAGCUUUUGACAUUCUCAAUAAUUUUUAAGAGCCUACGACACAAAGUUUGAUAACCAGUGACUAAGAAUUUCUUAUAUUCAGAUCCAAUUCUUUCUAGUCUUCUAGUGUGUGUACGGGUGUCAUUCAAAAAUAGUGACUUUAAAAAUAUAUGUCAUUUAAAAUAUAUAUAUACUUAUAGAAUAAGUGUAAAUAUAUGGGUGUAUAUAUAUUUGUGGUAUUUUAAACCUAUUUAAUUUAAAUUUGUAUUAUAGGUAAUCAUCUUUAAACUUUAUAUAUGUGUACUUUUUACUAAUUAUUUAAUAGAUAAAUGGAUGUAGCAUCUGUUAAUAAUCUUAUUUGGAUAUACUGUACAGAUAUUUGUUGUUGUUGUAAAAAAGAUAUAUUGGACAUCUACUUGUGUUACUUAUGUAAAAAUAUGUAUUCAUAGAAAUUCUUCUAUACAUUUGUACAUAUUUAGAAUAUUUGCAUUAUUUGUACUAAUGCAAUAUUUUUCUUUAUAGACAGAUGUGUACUCCUUAUAUAAUCUGUUUAAGUUCUUUGCCUAUUUUGAAGAAUUUAACAAUUAUUUUUCACAUAUAGGCACUCUUUGUAUAUUACAGGUAAAACAUCACUGUAUAUUACAUUUUCCACAAAGAUAUUCUCAUUUUUAUUUGUUUUUUAUACAUUUUGUUUUAAUAUUUAACCAUAUUUUUAUGGCAAGACAUUUUAUCAUUUCCGUACUGCCACAGUAAUGUUCCUUAACAGUAAUAAUGUUGGAUUCAUCAACCACAAAUCCCAAUUUUAUGCUACUAGGAGCAUUCAUUUCACAGUUGUACAUCUAUGGGCAAGUUGGGGUUCAAACAAGGACUAGACUAAGUAGAGUUUGGAUCCAACUGAAAAAAAGGAUAAAGGUCUUCUUCAUGAGUCCUGAUCCUCCUAGAACUAGUGACUAGGCACCUUCUUUACCAACCAAAAGGGAGGACCACACGGAGAAAAGCAUCCCCACACAAGCACUUUUCCAGCCUUUUGUUCUGGCUUGCCUUUUCCCAACUGAUGUUUAAAUGGACUCAAAUAAUACAUCAGCUUUGGUUCUGGCUUCUUUCGUUUAGCAAAGUAUAUUUAAGAUUUAUCUUUGUCAUGGUAUGAAUUAAUGGCUUAUUCCUUUUAUUUCUGAGUAGUACACCAUUGUAUUGAUAUUUCUUUAUCCAUUCACCUAUUGAAGGUCAUCCUCAUUUACAUAAUAAGUUUAAUUAUUAACAGUUUAUGAAGUAUCAUUAAUAUAUUUCCAUGUUAGUAGAUGUUAUUCUAUAACAUUUUUAAAGGCUGCGAAGUACCCGAUUGAAACCCAUUUUCUGAAUAUACUAUAAUUUAUUUAAAUAAUUAUUUUAGUUGCUGAUAAUACAUUACAGGGAAAAAAAAACAACUAUGAAACAAAACCUUGGCUAUCUCUAUGACUCUAUGCUUACUCAAAUAUUCUAGAAGUAAACUUGUAGAGUUGAAAAUAUGUGAAUUUUAGAGCAUUUGGACUCAAAAUUGUAUGUAUUAUUUCUUUUCUGCAAAUCAGUAAUUUCACACUUAGUUUUUGAGAAAAACAUAUUAGGUUUAAGGCAAUGACAGAGAAACAUAAGAUAGAGCAGGAAGAAGAAAUCGUGCUUCUGAAAUUUUACAUGGGACCAAACUGUGUGACUAGAAUUAAUGCCAAACUAAUACAUUAGACCAAUUACAGCAAACAUCUGAUCCAUAAGGAUAACAUUAUUCAUAUUUCUUAGGACUAAUUCCAUGUAGGUAAAGCUGUACUUUGUCACAUAUUCUUAUAAGAACACUUCCUAUCAGCCUACCCCUUACCAAAACCUGCAGGUAGAAUCUUCUGUAAUGUAGUAUUUCAAUCAGUACAAAUAUAGGCUAUGUGUCAAUUCAGUGAAAACAUCAAUCAAAUUAAUACUUUGAAUAAAAAUUAAAAAGUGACUAGUUUCCUGGAUUAUAUUUUUUCAAAGAUUUAUUGCUUGUCCUAGAUAUUAUCUGAAUGUACUUAUGUUCUGUUUCCUGCCCAAUGAAUCAGCUGAAGUCCACAGUUGAAUUCAUACAUUCAUACCAAUAUAUUUUUUUCCCCUUUAGCACCUUGGAAAGUACGAAACCAAUAGAACAUUUUAUGACUACUUUCAACUCUCAUAUACGGCUCUGAGUCCAUGUACGUCCAUCUAAUACUGCUCUCAGAACCCA
rnacentral:lncRNA from 10 species